UCCUCCAAGGCUAAAUACUCCUGACUGACCGAUAGUGAACCAGUACCGUGAGGGAAAGGCGAAAAGAACCCCGGCGAGGGGAGUGAAAAAGAACCUGAAACCGUGUACGUACAAGCAGUGGGAGCACCCUUUGGGGUGUGACUGCGUACCUUUUGUAUAAUGGGUCAGCGACUUAUAUUCUGUAGCAAGGUUAACCGUAUAGGGGAGCCGU
rnacentral:rRNA from 1 species